UACGUAGGGUGCGAGCGUUAAUCGGAAUUACUGGGCGUAAAGCGUGCGCAGGCGGUUCGUUAAGUCAGAUGUGAAAGCCCCGAGCUCAACUUGGGAACUGCAUUUGAAACUGGCGGGCUGGAGUGUGGCAGAGGGGGGGUGGAAUUCCACGUGUAGCAGUGAAAUGCGUAGAGAUGUGGAGGAACACCGAUGGCGAAGGCAGCCCCCCUGGGCCAACACUGACGCUCAGGCACGAAAGCGUGGGGAGCAAACAGG
rnacentral:rRNA from 1 species